rnacentral:snoRNA from 1 species
CUGCCGUCAAUUAAGCUGACUGUGCUUUUUUUCCUAGUGGGAUCCAGUGUGCAGUGGUUGCAAACUGUCUUCUCUUCGGUAGUGUAUGCAGCCUGUUACCUGUAUGGGUUGCCCUAAGGGACCUUGAAGGCAGCU